AUGUGCUGUGGCUCUCAGCUUGCAUGUAUGUGCUGACUCCAGCUUUAUAAGUGCAUACAGAAAGAUACACGGAGCCUGCACAACUGACAUUGUGGAUCAUCUGCAGACUACUAACUACUCACAGAGGACCAAAAGCUCCUGUCACCACCACAGGAACCCCCAAGGUAUAACUGCGUAUCUUUCCAGUGAUGACCGUUGACGUGUCAUUUGUUCAUUGCAGUGACCCUGCAGUGGGGAAGCAAGUAUGAGUGGUGGGAGCUUACUGUGACUACAGAGAAGGAGAAAGGUGGAAGAGGCCAGUGUUUUUAAUAACGCCAGAAAGUGCCAAAGAAGCGCAGGACUGACUCGCACUGAAUGACUUACUAUGAGAGAGUACUUACUGCCUUACAUACUUAACACAUUGCCAUUUGGGAGGUCUGUGAACAUGAAACUAAUUCUGAUGCAUAACCUGAUCAUCUGCCUAGAUUAUUGAAGCCCAUAUAUAUAAUGUGGAUAAAAAUUAAAACUGAGAAACGAAAAGGUCAGCAAAUGCACAGAGAGAAGAUUCACCAAAUACCUACUUUAGAAAAAAUUACGGACCCUGAAUGUCCAGCUGAUGAGUGAUGUCUCAUUACAUGUCUCAUUGAUAAAGAUGUGUCUGGGUGAAAAAGAGUUGGGCAGGACUCAUGGUAGAGGAAAUACUGUAUAGCAAAGAUUAGUGGAUAUGGAGAGAGAGCAACAGAAACUAUCCAAAUAAAAAUA